rnacentral:rRNA from 1 species
CAUGCAAGUCGAGCGGUAGAGAGAAGCUUGCUUCUCUUGAGAGCGGCGGACGGGUGAGUAAUGCCUAGGAAUCUGCCUGGUAGUGGGGGAUAACGUUCGGAAACGGACGCUAAUACCGCAUACGUCCUACGGGAGAAAGCAGGGGACCUUCGGGCCUUGCGCUAUCAGAUGAGCCUAGGUCGGAUUAGCUAGUUGGUGAGGUAAUGGCUCACCAAGGCGACGAUCCGUAACUGGUCUGAGAGGAUGAUCAGUCACACUGGAACUGAGACACGGUCCAGACUCCUACGGGAGGCAGCAGUGGGGAAUAUUGGACAAUGGGCGAAAGCCUGAUCCAGCCAUGCCGCGUGUGUGAAGAAGGUCUUCGGAUUGUAAAGCACUUUAAGUUGGGAGGAAGGGCAUUAACCUAAUACGUUAGUGUUUUGACGUUACCGACAGAAUAAGCACCGGCUAACUCUGUGCCAGCAGCCGCGGUAAUACAGAGGGUGCAAGCGUUAAUCGGAAUUACUGGGCGUAAAGCGCGCGUAGGUGGUUUGUUAAGUUGGAUGUGAAAUCCCCGGGCUCAACCUGGGAACUGCAUUCAAAACUGACUGACUAGAGUAUGGUAGAGGGUGGUGGAAUUUCCUGUGUAGCGGUGAAAUGCGUAGAUAUAGGAAGGAACACCAGUGGCGAAGGCGACCACCUGGACUAAUACUGACACUGAGGUGCGAAAGCGUGGGGAGCAAACAGGAUUAGAUACCCUGGUAGUCCACGCCGUAAACGAUGUCAACUAGCCGUUGGGAGCCUUGAGCUCUUAGUGGCGCAGCUAACGCAUUAAGUUGACCGCCUGGGGAGUACGGCCGCAAGGUAAAAAAUUAGAUGAAUUGACGGGGGCCCGCACAAACGGUGGAGCAUGUGGUUUAACUCCAAGCAACACCAAUAACCAUACUAGGCCUUGACCUCCAAUGCAUU